GACGAACGCUGGCGGCGUGCUUAACACAUGCAAGUCGAACGGAAAGGCCCUGCUUGCCGGGUACUCGAGUGGCGAACGGGUGAGUAACACGUGGGUGAUCUGCCCUGCACUUCGGGAUAAGCCUGGGAAACUGGGUCUAAUACCGGAUAGGAGCCAUUUUUAGUGUGAUGGUUGGAAAGUUUUUUCGGUGUAGGAUGAGCUCGCGGCCUAUCAGCUUGUUGGUGGGGUAAUGGCCUACCAAGGCGGCGACGGGUAGCCGGCCUGAGAGGGUGGACGGCCACAUUGGGACUGAGAUACGGCCCAGACUCCUACGGGAGGCAGCAGUGGGGAAUAUUGCACAAUGGGCGCAAGCCUGAUGCAGCGACGCCGCGUGGGGGAUGACGGCCUUCGGGUUGUAAACUCCUUUCGCUAGGGACGAAGCUUCUUGUGACGGUACCUAGAUAAGAAGCACCGGCUAACUACGUG
rnacentral:rRNA from 1 species